GGGAGGAGAGGGCGAGGCCUCCCCAUUCCCUGCCCCAUUCCCGUUGCCUGCCUCCGCCCGGCCGCGGGGCGGCGCCCACGAGCCGUCCUCCACGCGGCUCCGGAGGCCAUGGACGCUUCCCUGAGGGCACCUGCGGGUUCCUCUUGCCGGAGCAGGCCUUUGUAUUCCUGAGGGACAGCACUGACACCCCCCCACACACACACACACGCACACACAAAGCCGCGAGUGGGGAAUUUUGCGGCGGCCGCUCGGUGCUCCGCGGCGGGGCCGGUGUCGCAGAGAAUGACCCGGUUUGUGAGGCCCAGCCUCGCACGGAGAUUGACGGGCUGAGUGGUUGUUGGGGAAAUCCAUCCUUCGCAUUUCAUCCUGUUUCAUCAGCAUGCUCACGCAAGUACGCGGUAGAAAUGAGUACGGAAUAAGGAGGGGUGAAUUGCUUCUGUCCGUGUGCAAGAACAAUGAAGCCGUGAGGUACCGAUGAGACACCUCCCUCCUACAAUCGAGGAACAAAUGGUUACAGUUGUGUGGUGGUUCCUGCAAAGUGGAGAAUGCUGCUACCUGGUGCUGUCCCUGCUCCCUCCGCAUUUCAGGUUGAAUGCUGGGUGUAAUUUCCCCCUUCGCUCUGUGAAUAACAAGUUAAAACCCCUUCCUUCUACCCAGUGAAAGUUACAGUUUGUGAAACGUUUCCAGAUCGAAAACGCUGAAAACCCUCCAAUUAGGCUUUCCCGCCAGAAGGAGAGGAUAACAUAACGAGGGCGAGAAACGCUUUCUGAAAACACUUCAGCUUGGAAGCUGCUCUGAAGUGUUAAGAGAGUCACAAAUGAUGGAGUCCACCUGGUUUCCUUGUGAUUCACACAGACUGAAGAAACACUGAAGGCUGUGUCUCCUCAAAAAAGCAGGUGAGGCAACGUGCAACUUUUACACCAAAACUGAAGUUUUGAACCCAUCCAGAAACCAGUGGAAAGAAGCCUCAUUUCCUACAGGAAGGACAGAGCAGAGAAAGAGGUUUGUGGUUGAUUGUCCUGCCCUGGGGAACCCGAGGGAUGUAGGAUUUGGCACAGUCAUGGCCUGAGGGGCACUAACAGCAGAUGGAUCACCUUGGCUGUGUGGCAGUUGCCCUGUCCUUGCUUGCAGUGAGAGCCUUGCGGUGCAAGGAUGGAAUGUUCCAGCAGAUGUUCUGGCGUGUCCUCCAUUUGAUUUGGCCUAGCAAUGCUACUUCCCCCCACAUCCAUAAAUCACUUACUCCCAUGAAGUGUGACUUCUGUUUUCAAUCACUUACGUGAACUGCAGUAGAUACAGCCAUGCUAAAUAUAUUUUAAUAAAUAAGCAUUGAAUCAA